rnacentral:lncRNA from 10 species
ACCUCUGCCUCCUGGGUUCAAGCGAUUCUCCUGUCUCACCCUCCUGAGUAGCUGGGAUUACAGGCAUGUGCCACCACGCCCGGCUAAUUUUUUUGUCUUUUUAGUAGAGACAGGGUUUCACCAUGUUGGUCAGGUUGGUCUCGAACUCCUGAUGUCAGAUGAUCCGCCUACCUUGGCCUCCCAAAGUGCUGGGAUUACAGGCGUGAGCCACCGUGCCCGGCCAAUAAUAUGUAUUUUUUCUACAUUUUGUUUGCUCUUCUUCCCCAUCCCCCCAAGUCUCUUUUUUUCUUUCUUGGGUUGGAAUUGAAAUGACUUUAAGUGAUUCUAAUUUUCUUACCAAACUACACACAAACCUAUUAUUUUUAAGCCUUACUGAAGGAGUGGGAGAGAAAGAAGCUGUGUUGUUAUACAGCUGUAUAGAUGAUAGCAUCAUUACUGCAAACUGCCAUGUCCAUGGCAACAUAUAAUUCAGCAAAAACAUAGUGAUUCUUUCUCUACUUUGAAAAACAUGUUCUCACAAAUUAUCCACCCCAUCCUCUCCAUGUAUUGUUUCUGGGUUUCAGUUGGAUUUAGGGUCUGAAAUAUCGUUUCCAGUUAUUAAUGGCAGAAGAGGGAGUCUCUCUGCCAACUGUUUUCAUAUAAUACUGUAUUCUAAAUCCCUGACCUGAUACUGUUAUUUUAAGAUUAAGUGGGUUGAGCUCACUAAUGUACAUUAUGGCAUCAUGUAAAACAGAGUUCCUCUCCUAGCUUGAGAUUAAAUAAUACAUGAUAGAAAGAAUAUAGUGAAUAAUUGCCUUGAGUCCUCUAUAUUUUUUUCCCAAAGGUAAAUGGAAAGAUCUAAUAAAUCUGUUUCCAGAAAUGCUGAAUGUAUUUAUAUGUGUUUUGUUUAAAACAUAACCAGCGUAGAGCAACUUCUCUAUGAGGUGCCAAGAAAGUCUUUAAACUCCUCAUUUGUCUUUGUUUUCAAUCCACCUGUUCAUUUCCAUUUCAGAAUGUCUAGAAAAGAUUGACAAAACUUUUUAGGCUGCAAACCUAAAUGUCCACAAUUUUACAUUUCAACAAUUGUUUAAUAUCUCAGAAUUUGACAUAAUGACAUUUAGUUCAAGAGUACUUAGCUGUCAACUGUAACAAUUCAUAUCUACGCCUUCCUACUUUGUAACAUAGUUGCCUCCCUCAUUUGUGACAUUAAUUUAUGACUCAGCCCACAUUUCAAAGGAAAGUGAUAUAUGUUGGGGAAACAAUACUACUAAAAGAAAAAGCCCACACCUCUACAUUACUAUAAGUGAGAGGCGUGUUUGCUUAUAUUAAUAAAGAUAUUCCUUCACAAAGAUCAAUAUGGAUCCUAUUGCAUCCAUUUGACAAAGUAGCUUUGCCAGAAGGUAGCUGACAGCAAGUGCUGAGAUCUCAGAGCAGCUGUGUAGGAUGAUUUUGCCAUUGUCAAGAAGUCUUUAGUAAUUAUUUUGCAUUAGUUUGCUCUCUUUUUCAACUCCUUUCUUAUUACACUUUUCUAAUCCCCUUGCAUACUAUCUAUUAAAAAAUAUUGAGGGCUGGGCAUGGUGGCUCACGCCUGUAAUCCCAGCACUUUGUGAGGCUGUGAUAGCUUGAACUCAAGAGUUCAAGACUAUUGUAGGAGGGCUGACCCUUUCAGGCUGUAUUCACUAGGCUACUGUGACAGCUGACUUUCACCUGGGAUUUGUCCAGUGGUAGGCACUGACAAGAAAUUGGAAGAAGGGAGGAAAGAAGAAAAGCCCUGUUCCCUAGCUCAGUCCUGAGGCCUGAUGCAUUUCCUUUGUAGCUUUCCUCCCCAUGAAUAUGUUCACUGGGAUUCUCUAGCUUUUGCCAGUGACCCUAUCCCCUCAGCUCCAGAACAACAUCUUCCCCCAUUUGUCCUUUAGCCUAGGGAUGGUAGAAGCUUUCAGCUUUCUAAUCUUUUAGGACUUAGAGAAGUGAAUCUUUCCUUUUUGGCUUUUUAGCUCUUCCAUAAUUUGUGUAACCAAUUUCCUGGAUUCUCUGUUUUGUUUUUGUUUUUGUUUUUUGAGACGGAGUCUCAUUCUGUUGCCAGGCUGGAGUGCAGUGGUGUGAUCCCAGCUCACUGCAACCUCUGACUCCCUGGUUCAAGUGAUUCUCCUGCCUCAGACUACCAAGUACUGGGAUUACAGGCACGUGCCACCAAGCCCAGCUAAUUUUCGUAUUUUUAGUAGAGAUGUGGUUUGAUUAUGCAAGUCUGGAAUAUUCUGUCUAUUCUAAAGUAUGCCUCUUUUAUCUAUAGGCAGAAUUAGAAACACUAUUUCCAGAAAACCCUCAAUUUACCAUUGAUUUGAAGCUAAUAUAAUAUCUCAAAUAGUAAAACAUAGUUUAUGUUAACAUAAAAUAUUGGCAUUUUAUAUUUUGGAGAGAGUAUAAUAACAAAUUAUAUAUAGCUCAUAUCCCAUGGCCUAAAAUUAAUGCUUAUGUAAAUGUUUAAGGCUAGGCCUAAUGAUAAAUAUUAAGUUGCAAAUAUUAAAAUGUAUAUUUUAAAUUUAUAUUAGAUUCUAACCUUUUUUCUUGUUUAAACCAUUAAUAACAAUCUUUCUUUUUAUCUAGCAUGGUUCUUUGAGGAACCAAAAUUAUUUAUUAUGACAUACUUACAAAAGAAGAAGAGGGCAGUGGUUGAUAGUAAUUUGAUGAUGGUGCUAUAAAUGGCUAACAUGUGGUAUGUUCCUUCUAUAAUAAAUGGUUCUUCUAAAAUAAAUUGACACUGUUUUAAAAAUCCACUUCAAUCUUUUGCUACUAGUUUUCACUUUACAAAAAAAUGCUUUAUGGUGGUAAAAACUUUACC